UGAGCUCAUCAGUAAAGCUUCAUCAGCAGGACUGGUUUUACGAUUAAAUGGCCUAUAGGGACAGUGAAGCUCAAAGGAUACAUUUGUAUGAAAGCGGUGGUUAGGUGAGGAUUUCCUAGAAUUGUA